AUGAAACAAAAUCUUGAUGAAGGUGCAUUUAAGAGAAGAAAGACUCAAGCACAAAAUUUUGAUGUUGAUCUUACUACUCAAGAGGGUGGUGUAGUAGAAAUGGAUGUAGAACAAUCAAGAUCAAAUUCAGUGAUUGUGUCUCAAAAGAGAAAGAAUACUAGUCGUAUUGCUAAUUCUGCGUAUUUUCAAUCUAUGGCUGAUGCACUUUGCAGCAUGAGUCUGGGGUAUAAAGUUCCAACUAUGCAUAGUGUUCGUGGCUAUUUGUUAAAUAAAUGGGUUGAAGAUGUGAACAACUUGAUAGAGGAGUAUCGUUAG